CACAGCCAUGCUCAGGUGUUCAGGUGUUUGGGAGCACAGCACAGCCAUGCUCAGGUGUUUGGGAGCAGAGCACAGCCAUGCUCAGGUGUUUGGGAGCAGAGCACAGCCAUGCUCAGGUGUUUGGGAGCAGAGCACAGCCAUGCUCAGGUGUUCAGGUGUUUGGGAGCAGAGCACAGCCAUGUUCAGGUGUUUGGGAGCAGAGCACAGCCAUGCUCAGGUGUUUGGGAGCAGAGCACAGCCAUGCUCAGGUGUUCAGGUGUUUGGGAGCAGAGCACAGCCAUGUUCAGGUGUUCAGGUGUUUG